rnacentral:tRNA from 1 species
GCCUGGGUGGCGGAAUUGGUAGACGCAAGGGACUUAAAAUCCCUCGUAGGUCAUCUACAUGCGGGUUCGAGUCCCGCCCCAGGCACCA